GACGUAGGGGGCAAGCGUUAUUCGGAAUUAUUGGGCGUAAAGCGCUCGUAGGCGGGACUGGAAGUCCGUGUUGAAAGACCUCGGCUCAACUGAGGGACCGGCUCGGAUACUCUAGUUCUUGAGGCAAUCAGAGGGUGAUGGAAUUCCCGGCGUAGCGGUGAAAUGCGUAGAUAUCGGGAGGAACACCAGUGGCGAAGGCGAGUCUCUGGACAUUUCCUGACGCUGAGGCACGAAAGCCAGGGGAGCAAACGGG
rnacentral:rRNA from 1 species